UAUUAUAUAUCAAUGUGAGAUAUAAAAAAGAAAGCGAAUAACUAAAAUAUUAAUGCAUGAAAAAAUGAUAUCGGUAGCAAACAAACAAUACAUUGUGAAGUGUCUCUUGAUAAUAUACAUAUAUUAUAACAUUAUAUAAUAAUAUUAUAUUUAUAUAUAAUAUAUAAUUAUAUAUAUAUCAAUAAGAUAUAAUAUUAAUGCAUGAAACAAAUUAUAUCGGUAGCAAACAAGUCUUAAUGAAAAAUUGCUCUCUGGUAAAAUCUGACAUAGUACAUUAAUAAAAAUUGUUGAACUUCGUCGUUAUCGUAAAAGUAAAAUGACGCAGAUGAUAAAUAUUUAAGUACAUGAAAGAAGGAUAUAUGUAUACUUUUCGCAGAUUUUGUUUUUAGUUUAUAUAGUACAUGUGCGACUACAGAGUCGACGCUAAAGCCAAAAGUCCGCAAGAAUCUUGUACAUAAAUCUUUAUAUAUCCGAACUUUUUUCUGAGAUGGUUCACUCGUUAUCACUAAAAAUUUUACUUUCAUUUUAUAUCACUUACGGACAUACGUCAAUGUCCUAUCGAGCUCAUGAAAUAUUUCGAUAUCGGCGAAUAUAGCCACAGAUGGAGGCGAUGAGCCUCCUUUUUACAUAUAUGUAUAUGUAAUGAUAAGUUAUAAAAAUGAUAAAAAUUGUUUCAGAGAAAUAGAGAGAAGGUGAAGUACAGUUAAGCAUAAUUUUGUCAUUUUUUUUCUUUUUGUUUUAGAUGCAAUGCAAUCUUCCAUAUGACCGAAACGUUUCCUCGUCUUAUUUUCUUCGUAUAUAUGUAUCUUUGUUUUGAUUAAAGGAACCCCAUUUUUAAGGCAUUGUAUAGGGCUUGAGUAUCCGAAUGGCUAUUUAUUCUCCAAAAGGGAAAAUUGUGCGCUCGAGCUGCCGUCUCUUCAUCUGAAUCAUCACCUAUCACCACGUACGUACAUCUACGUCCAAAUCGGGCAACCACUCUGCCGAAACAGCUCUCCUUUCCUAAAACGUAUAAAAUUACCAAUUUUGGAGGCCGAAUAUAUAUUUUCUAUGGGAAAUAUCCCGCCGAUGCCGAAGAGCAGAACCUUGGAGAGCGCGGGUACCAGCUGCGUAGUCGUCACCAGGAUGUUGAUGCAAUGACUCCUCUUAUUGAUGAUGUUAAGACACUCGACGGCCGACGUCAACCAUUUAUCAGUCAGCACUUCGAUCUCGGAACGCAACUGUAGCCACUGUUCGCGUUUGGCCGUGCCCAACAAACCGCCCACGUUGUUACGAUAAUUGCAGUAGAUCUCCUUAAUCUUACGAUAACGAAAUGCCAACUUCCUCAUCCAGUCGACGCCGCCUCGUACACCAGACGCCAGGCAUAUCCCGUUAUUCGCGGACGCGCACUGGAAACCAUCGGUCGUGAAGUUGUAGGACGACAAGUCCUGUCCGUUAUCGUCCGACGAAACGUCGUCUAUGUGUACUUGAUCGCAGUCCUACGGGGAAAAAGAAAAUAGAUACUGGAGAGCUUUCAUUAAAGUUAUAUGAACAAACCAGGAAGAUUUUAUCACCUCGACAUCAUUGAAGAAAAAGUGCGUAUCUGCUAAACUGAAUAUCAUCUCUUCCAUUCUGUACGCCGCUUGGGCCAGAAGGGCUGGAUCCUUACGGUGCUUCGUGGCGAAUUGUCCGGAAAUUUCGUUUACGAGAGAUAGAGAGAAAGGAACUAAAAGAGCGUGUGAUUUAAUGAAAAACUUACCAGCAAAGUUGAUGUUGCCGAUGUUAAAGGAGGUCGGAGGCGCGUGAUAACCGGGUACAGGAUAAUAUCCGGAAUACUGAAGCGGUACCCUGUCGUUUCCGUAUAAACUACUGCUGUAAGCGCUAUAAUCUAAUUUCUGAAAGAGAGAAUGAAAAGUGUCACAUUUGCAUUUGGAGGAAAUUGUGAAAAUGAAAUGAUCACCUGGGUGGCUGAUGAUAUAUUCUGCGCGACGUUCGGGAAUGUCGUCGUCCCGCUGUUGUAACUAGCGUAAGGUGCAUACUGCGUCAUCGAGCUUGACGACGUGUAAGAGCUUAGAUACGUGCUCUGCAAGCUCGCGUUUUUCGAAACUGUCGUCGAUCCGUAAGGCGGCGGGUUGUAUAGACUAGACGAGAUGGAAAAAGGAAAACGAACAGAAAAAGAUAAGUUUUUACGCUGAUGAACAAUUAUCUGUACGUGAAUUAAUUAUAAUACAGUCCAAUGAUUAAAUAAUGGUACUAAUUUUGUUUUAAAAAGUGCUCAUGUUUUAUCUAAUGCUGAAAAUACAUUCCUCGAGUAAACAAAAUAUCAUCUUUUAUCGUAAAUUAUUUUGUAUCAUUAUUUAAUCGGCAAAUUAUGUGCAAAUUAAAUACCUAUUGUAAUAUUGAUUGGUAUCAUACAGGGAUCCGUAAUCCGUCUUUUCCAUCGAAUCCGGAUACUCCUGUUCCUUCUCCUCAGCAUUCUCAUCGAUGUAGAGUUCGCCACCGGGGACGCUAUCGUUUUCGGGACAGUCCUGCACCUCGUUUUUAACUUCGGUCUCUUGUAUGAAAAUUAACAGGUGAAAGAAGAUUGCACCUGCGAGAUCGCAGGAGUUCGCUCGCGUGUGAACUUCAUUAUUGUCUGCCAAUUGCGUGUCGAAGAGGAGUGACUGGUUGGGUAGGCGUUCACCAUGAGGCACCUAAAGCAGCCAAUGGAACCUCUCACGAUGCUUUACAUUAUGUUGAUAUUUUUCUCUACGAGAUCGCCUGCGGAUUAAUCGAGGGACUUAUUAUCGUUACGUCACGGAUACGAAAUUGUCACCCUGUAUAUCAUUAUUGCUCAUCUCGCCGUAUAAGCAGAGAGAGAGAUGAAAGGCACUCCGCUUAUCUAAACAAAAGGCCGUGCCGAAGUGUUUAUCGCGGGUGAGUUGCUUAGCUUGCUGUCUGGCUUGGCUGCUUGUCUGUCCAUCAAGCGUCAGGGAAAUGCAACGAAACGAGAGGAAUGCCGGCUCGGUCUCUCUCGCCCGCAGGACUCUUCAGACUCGGGUCGGCUUACGUCGUCGACCGUAAGAAAGAAAAGGAAAAGCAAAGCGCUAAGGAUGGCUACAGUUCGUUGAGACAAAAGCUUUUUGUCCGGGAGCCUACCUAGCCGCGUGUCAGAAGGAAGAAACGAAAAGUCUUUAGGAAGGUUUUCACAAUCUCUGUCUAUGAAGUAAACACGCUUGCAAGGAUUAAUACUGGAACGACAAUUUAUUGUAUCAGCGUUACGUAUUUAGAAGAGGAACUAUCAGCCUUUUUGGAGGGAAUGUAUUGUUUGAUACUACGCAACGACCAAUUAAAAUACAUUACUGUCCUAACGAGCCGAAUGAGAUGCAUAAGUUACGCAUGCUCAAUUGAUAAUGACGUUUCCGCGUGUGUGCGAACAGCGACUCUUGCGUCUCUAAUACAGUUCCUCGGAAAAACUUUACACUCGGAAAACUUUAUCACGCGCCAAGAUAAACUGAAUAUAAUCUAGAAACACGGCGAUAUAGUUGAGAAUUUAUCUAAACAAGUCGAUCUUGUUCUAUUUCUCUCUCGCAAGAUUUUGGAUAUGCCAGAGAUCAAAAAUUAAUAAAAGUGAUGAUUGGAAAAUUGAAACUUAUAUCUGACUAAAAGGAACCUCACGUAAAAGAUCUACUCUUGCGUCGUUAAAGGAAAACUACGCCAAGUAAACAACAUAAUUCAGGAAAGAGAGAGAAAGAAAACCUCUCUUCACGACAAGUCUAAUUGAGUAAAAUUGAGCGAACCUUACGUCUCGUUACUCCAGAUUCGAGAUAGGAUAUCCACUGAUGCACGUUCAAGGAAGCCUUCGGCGAUUCUCUCCCGACAACAGCAUCGUUAUAUCCCGGAGAUGAAACACUUGAAACCUCUUUACGGCUAAUGUAGCUGUAACAUCGAGGGUGAGUCUGCAUUUUUCAAGGACGAUAUGACGAAAAUGAAGAAUAACACGGGCGGCAAUAUAAUUUUCUACAUCCUAUACCAACAUCCAUUGUAUGUUUUCCACCAACUUGAUGGACUCUCAAAUUUCGUUAAAAGUCUCUUGCUAACGUUACCAUAAAAGCAUCUCAAGAAACUUUCCCGUUUUAAGCUCUAUUCUACGGAAAAUCGUGUUCACUAAAACUAGACGAUAGAAUAGCGAAUGAAUGUAUAUGUUCUCGGGGAAUAUAUGGCGAUCGACAUCUUGAUCAGGGCUUUGUGACGAAUGACAAAGGAGAAUAAUGCUUUUACAUAACGUACAUCAAACACAGAAGGAUCUCUUCGCAUUUCUGAGAAAGAUUGACUAUCAUGCAUGUUCAUCUCUUUAUUGAAAUCGACCGAUCAUCGAUCUUAUAUUACGCAAUACGUACUGUCCAUUUACUUCAAAUGGAUACAAAUGCGAUAUUGCGGAAAAUGGAUUAAAUGCACGCUGGAAUUCUCAUGACAAAAAGUUUCUUCGUUCUAUUAUCUAUAGAAUUCAACACUUUCCACGUACGAAUGAAAUUCUCAAUCUUCUUCCCGAGGGAGCUCGCAACUCUCGCAUCGUGCUACUACUCUUCGAGAUAAGUGCGAUACACCAGCUUCGUGAAAGAAAUAUCGAUUCUAACGUGUGACGGACAUUAUUGCGUUCCCAAGAGUUCGCCUAUCGCAGAGACAGCGGAUAAUAAAAGAAGACGCGCCGGAAAGAUAGACAUGGCGUCGACAUUAUUCUGCAGUGGGUCGCAGCCGCUGAAGAAAUGGCGGAAUAAUGGUUUUGACGAUAUCCUUUAAUAAGGGAAUUUUUUGCAAGUUGCAAAAAAAUGCAUAUAUACACAUGUAUAUUUUUUCUCUGAAGUUACUCUAUGAAAAUAUGGUCCUUAUUUUCAAGAUAUAUUAAUAUACAUAGUAGGCGUAUAUAUGUGACGACCACCCAGGUGUAUGUAUACCUCAUUGUGUGCUCCAGGAAAAAUGCAGGGACAUAGAGACGUAUACGGUGUCGUCGUGGGAUCUGCGAAGUAGGCCCUGAGACCUACACGGCGGAUUGUUAUGAAUCAUGUCAAGUUUACCUUUAGACGAAAGAAUUGCAAAGGGUUAAUGGAUAUACAAUCAAUACACUCAUCGUCAAUGAGGAUCCGAAAAAAAUUAACGAGUUGGCGUACAAGUAAAGCCAGCAAUCUUAAAAAUAUUGAUUGAAGGCGAAUCAUCAAGUUCCAUAGGAAAUUCCAAUUCCACUAGGACUAGCAGAUAUGCAAAAGGCGAUUUUUUUUCGCAAAAUAACAUCGCAUCAACGCAUAAGCGAAACACGUGACAUACUUAAAGUACGGUCCUGCAAAAAUGGACACACACACAUAUGUUAGAGGACCUGCGAGAGUUUCGGGCCGGAGCUAAGUAAGCGCGAGAGAUAUAUCCCCGUUUUGCACGAGGAUGUGUGUGUUAGGAAAUGGAUAUAUGUAUGCAACGAGGAAAUAUCUCUGUCUAUGUGAGUAGGUAGAUAGAAUAUGCGCGCAGUUGAGCCGCAUUCUCGGCCGGAGAUCCUCAAAUUCCGCGGCGAUGACGAACGAAUGAUUUUCGGCAAGGACACCCUGUGUGCAUGCAACGCAGGCGCAGGCAGCUGUCACCUUACACCCAUGGUAGAGGAGGAGAAGGAGGAGGAAGCAUGGGGCUGCGGCGGCCAUUCUCAACUUAUCUCUAGGAUCUUUGUAAACAUGUCGUGAAAUCCGAGUAUUCCGACAGUGGCGUAGAUCACGGGGUGGAAAGGAUCUAUCGAGAGGCGGGGAAUUAAAUUAAAAUCGAAAAUUGACAGAGCCGCGGUGUAAUUUCGAGCCCUAAUUAAAAGCGCGCCGAGAUCUCAACUCUAUCCUUAUUUGUAUGGAGACUCGAUUUUUUUUCUAGAGCGACGUGGAAAAUUUCAACUCCACUGCCAAUAUGUUUGCGUAAUUUUUCAUGUCCGAAAAUGAGGAUCCUCGCAUGAAUGCGGCAUCGCGACGCCGCUAUCCAUGUGGUUCCCUUGACAACCAGGAUCGCUAGUGGCAACGUCACUAAAUGGAAAGCGCAUCUUUGUUCCGUGCUAAUAAAAAGGACGCGUCUGUAGACACCUAAUGAUCCUAACGAUCCUAGUUUAGAAUAUGCGCCUAACAAUGUUCAAAAAUUACAUAGUUGAGAAUUGGAAUGUCACAUAUACUUGGAAUUGUGCUGACUAUUCAUAAAUGAGAUUUAAAAAAUCCCUUAAACAUCGUUGUGAGAUUGAAAGCCACCGGCUUUUACGUAUUAAUCAUUAUAAAUGUAAAUGAGAAACAAAGCUAUUAAUUUAAUUGAAAAUAGACUUUCUAAUGUAACACAUUAUCAACUUCUUGAAAACGUUAGAAAAUGAUUAUUUAAUUAAAUCUUUACUAGUAAUAAAUGUUGAAGUUGAUUAAAAAAUUUGUAGAUAAAAUUUCGUAUAAUUUUUCAACACAUUCUCUGUGUGUAUAUCAAAGUUAAAUCUCUUUUUUUUAUUCACGCUAGAAUUAGUAAAUAGACGAAUUAAAAUCGAAUAUGCAUCAGGGAAGACUUGCUCAUUUUUAACUAUAAACUUUAAUAUUUUAUUUUCGAAAUUGUUUCAAAAUUUUGAAAUUCCUUAUUUCAAUAUCUUAUCCCAUCUUACAUAAAUUUUAACUUGGACGAAAAUUAUAUAGGAUAUAUUUAGGUAGAGGUGUAAAUCAAAGAUUUCAUAAUUAUAAUUAAAAAAAAGA